GGAGGGCCAUAGCUCAGUGGUAGAGCAUCAGCCUUGCAUGCAGAAAGUCCCAGGUUCAAUCCCCGGCAUCUCCA
rnacentral:tRNA from 1 species